rnacentral:rRNA from 1 species
CAAUAGCGUAUAUUUAAGUUGUUGCAGUUAAAAAGCUCGUAGUCGGAUUUUGGCUGAGAACGAUCGGUCCGCCGUUAGGUGUGCACUGAUUGGUCUCAGCUUCCUGGUGAGGAGGUGUGCUUCACGGCCACUUAGUCACCGUGGUUACUUUGAAAAAAUUAGAGUGUUCAAAGCGGGCUUACGCUUGAAUAUAUUAGCAUGGAAUAACACCAUAGGACUCCUGUCCUAUUUCGUUGGUCACGGGACGGGAGUAAUGAUUAAGAGGAACAGUUGGGGGCAUUCGUAUUUCAUUGUCAGAGGUGAAAUUCUUGGAUUUAUGAAAGACGAACUCCUGCGAAAGCAUUUGCCAAGGAUGUUUUCAUUGA